CCUACGGGAGGCAGCAGGGAGGAAUAUUGGUCAAUGGGCGCGAGCCUGAACCAGCCAAGGAGCGGGAAGGAUGACGGCCCUACGGGUUGUAAACUUCUUUUAUAAAGGAAUAAAGUGAGGCACGUGUGCCUUUUUGUAUGUACCUUAUGAAUAAGGAUCGGCUAACUCCGUGCCAGCAGCCGCGGUAAUACGGAGGAUCCGAGCGUUAUCCGGAUUUAUUGGGUUUAAAGGGAGCGUAGAUGGGUUGUUAAGUCAGUUGUGAAAGUUUGCGGCUCAACCGUAAAAUUGCAAUUGAUACUGGCAGCCUUGAGUACAGUUGAGGUAGGCGGAAUUCGUGGUGUAGCGGUGAAAUGCUUAGAUAUCACGAAGAACUCCGAUUGCGAAGGCAGCUUACUAGACUGCAACUGACGUUGAUGCUCGAAAGUGUGGGUAUCAAACAGGAUUAGAUACCCCAGUAGUC
rnacentral:rRNA from 1 species